UGCAAGUAAAUAUAGUCAGAAAUCAAAAUUUUAAAGCAAAAUACAGUUUCCCAAAUUGCUUUGGAACUCUUUAGCUUUAUUCCCUUCUAAGAGAGGAAGGGGACUAAGGCAUAGAAAGACACAUGAUAAAACCAAUGGUAGAGGAAGAGGGGAAACCCUUCCAACUAUAGGCUACACAUAACAAAACAGCAUGUACAAAAAAGCCCUGUGGCCUCCUAUUGCCAGAGAAGGUAAAAGCUUUGUGAAUGUCCCACAAAGGACUGGACCUCGGACUUUCCCCAGUUCCCAAGGAGGGGGCACACUCCUAUUCUGGGAACUUAUCUUUCUUUUAAUAAAAGGUUUCUAUUUCUACUAACUAUGUGUCCUUGGUGCAAUUCCAGGACAGAGAACCUGGAAAUCCCAUGGGUGCCAUCUGGACUCUGAUUUAUGCUUAUAACACUUUUGCUUCAUCCUGGAAUCUAUUCCUGUCUUCCAUUCCUCCUGCUUUCGCUCUCCCCGGUGUCCCGGCCAGCGGGAUCUUCAGCAGAGACCCUAGAAGCGGGAAUGGCGAAUGAAAGGGACAAGAGACACAAAGAAUUGACAGCAAGACAGUAUUCUGAUCAAGCUGCAAAAUUUUAUUUUUCUCAGGUGGGUUUUAUAGUAAGCAGACCAGGAAACUUUCUUUGGGAAAAGAUCAGGGGACUGUUGAGUUGCCAAGCAACCCAACCAAGCAACCUAACCACAAAACAUUGUUACUAAUGGCCAGUGUAGCAGAAAGAUAAGGAAAUGUUAAGUUAUUUUCUAAUAACUCAAGACUUGUCCAGGCAUGUCAAAAGUUUCUGGUUAGUGGCUAAAUACUGGACAACAGAAACUUAACUCAGGCAGGCAAUAUGGCAUGGCUCUUAAAAUUGUCCUCGGCAUCUCCUCCCUUUAUUUUAUUUUGUGAGGGAGUGUGCCCACCUGAACGGUGGUGGACCUUAACUGGCUGGGGGAGACAUUGACCUGACUCCUCCUAGAGCCACUGCGGGCUUGAGGAAAAGGGUACCUUUUGGGGAGGAGAGGGCUUAGGCAUUUUGGUGCCUCUAGAUACCAACCUCUACACAAGUCAGGUUUGUCUCUCAGGGAAUCUGAACCAAGGGCUAUUAAAUCAGCCUUCCCCUGCAGGGCUUGGCCUUGCACCCAGCGGCGUCCAUACCGGCUGAUGCCAAUAAGCAGAGGUUCGGACUUUAUGCUGCUCCUAAAGGAGAAGAGGACUGAGAAAUAUCAUGGGGAUCACAUCCUCAAUCCAGCAUUUCAAGUCGAUGGUAAUGAACCUGUAUAGGUUUUGAUGCCAGGGAGUCUAUUUGUUUUUUGAUGAAUUGAAUUAGCCUGCCAAUUAUAAAGGGACCCAAAGUUACAAAUAGCAAAAGGCUAACUAAUGGUCCUGCAAGAGGCAUUAAAAGGGAGAACAUGGAUGAUCUCCACCAAUCAUCUGCCGCAGCAGAGAAUUACUGCUUAUGUAGCUCUAGGCUAAGUUUAUGUAGCUUGUUUAUCUGGGUUUCUACCAUUCCAGACUCAUUAAUAUAAUAACAUUCUUCCCUCAGAAAAAGGCAUAUCCCACCCUUUUCUGCUGUCAGCAGGUCCAAGGCUUGUUGAUUUUGUAGGGCAACCUGUGCAAGAGAGGUUAACUGCCUCUGGAGGGAGGAUAAGGAUGCUGAAGAAGCCUCAAUUGCUACCUGAAGUUGCUUGGAUAGGUGAGCUGUUGUUAUGAAGGAAUGACCCAGAACUCCUCCUGCCAAGCCUGCAGAGACCAGAGAGGUGGCAAGGGAAAUUCCGGUCACAAGGGGCAAGAAGACAGCUCUUUUUUGCUUGGGCUGGGGGGUGUCCCAUCCCAAGAACUCCGCAGGGAUCCUGAGCAUAAGUUGUGGGACCAGAGUGACAGGUAAGCAGAGCAUGUCCUGUGGGAUAGGGAUGGUCAAAUUUUUUGAUUGAGUGCCACUGCACCAAAAGAAACAUCCAGGGAGGGAAAAGGAUGAUUGGGUAAUACGGUCUGGUUGCAAAAGGGAAGGGAAACACUAGAAAAGCAAAAAUCAAACUUAGAGCGGCCUGGGUCAAGAAACAAGGGUACUUCAGGGAUGAGGUGGAAGUCAUGGGAAUUAUCAGUGGUGGUGAUAAGGACCUGAGGCAGGGGUACUGCUAUCAGGGGAGUAAGUCCUAAGGCUCCACAUAGGAAGCAUGAUGAGAGAUUCCCAAUGCCAGUGUCAUUAAAUUUUUUUCUUGUAUAAGGAUAUUAUGAUGGACCGUAGAUUGUACUUGUACAUAAGAGCGCCAAAUGUAAAGUUAGGCCAUGUGGCCGUUCAGGCCAUGUACAUGGCUCCUUCUACUGGACUAGUCCAUUGUAAGUCCCACAGUCCCAAACCACUAGGGAAUAUCUUGUAGAUGUCUUAUAAAAUUUAGGGCCGUUCCAUUCUCUCCCAAUUACCUGUCCCUUAGCAGGAGGAAUGGCAUCAUGAAUUUUGCAGUAAGAAUAGGGACAUCCUACACUUUUCUUCUUCAAAUAAGUUUUGCAAUUGUGAACAGUUUGAUAAAAAAAAAAAAAAAAAACAGAUAGCAGGAGCCACCUUGCCGGGGGAAUUAUGGAAAUCAGUAAAGUUGAGUAAAAUGGGAUUCUGACAUCCUUGCAAGGGGCAAUCAGUGGUAGCCAAUAGGUGACCAAAGGUCUGUGUUUUAGCAUAAUUAGUAUAAUUUUCAGUCAAAUAAAAGCGCCAUGCAAAUGAGGAUGUGUCGACCGGUCUCUGGUCUUGAUAAGAAGGUACAGGCAGCAGCAAGAUCCAGAAUAUCCAGGGAAAUUCUCCCAGUUUUUUCUUCAUCAGCAUCUGUAAAGAAGGAGAAGGGAAGGGAAACAAUCUCAGGGGCUAUCCUUUUCCCUGGGUGAUUGGUUAGAGCUGACUUGUUUAACUAAUCUCUCGGGGAGCCAAUGAGGGCCUCCCUCUGUUUGGUCAUAGAUGCAUGCUGACCCUCGACCCCAGAUCCACUGUGCAGUUAAGGGGUCUCACCACAUGACCAGUGCUUGGUGGCUUUGAGUUUGUGGAGGCCAAAAGCGAUCCGCUGCAGACCUUUCAUUCUUGUCCAAGCAGGACUCCCCGAGCUUGACCUAAUGUUUGGCUAUGGGUCUGCAUCUGUUUCCAUCAGUUACUGGAUGAAGCCUCUCUGAUGACAAUUGGGGUAGGCACCAAUUUAUGAAUAUAGCAGAAUAUCAUUAGGCAUCAUUACAUUGAUAUUUUUUCCCCUCUAAUCAUGUUUGGUUCUCUCAUAGGUCUUUGGGCCAUCCAGACUCUGGGUCCUGGCACCCAGGCUGUGUCAGGGAUGGACUCACUCUUGUGGCAUGGGUCUCAGGCUGGACCAGUCAUUGGUUGGCCACUCCUACAAUCUUUGUGCCACCCUUUCCCCAGCACAUUCCAUAGGCAGGACAGACUGUAGGUCCAAGGUUAUGCGGCUGGGUUGGUGUUUCAAUCCUUCCACUGGAAGUCUUGCUUAGUCACAGGAGAUGGCCAGUUCAGGCUGUGUAUCUGCUAUUGCUAGGAGUCUUAGCUGGGGUCCUCCUUGUAGAUUCCCGGGAGUUUCCCUUGCACCAGGGUUCUACCUGCCCUGGAAAUGCUCCCCCGAACCGUCUCUUUCAGUACUCCCCCUCCAUCCACUGCUCAACCUGACCCCUCAUGUUCCCAUCCCCGGCUGCCCCCAGUCCACCCACAAGAUCUCUUCUAUUUCCCCUUCUCAAGGAGAUCCGUGGAUCCCCCCCUUGAGCCCUCCUUGUUACCUAGACUCUGUGUCUGUGGAUUGUAGCAUAAUUCUCCUUUAUUUUAUAGCUAAUAUUCACUUAUGAGUGAGUACAUACCAUGUUUGUCUUUCUGGGUCUGGGUUACCUCACUCAGGAUGAUUUUUUUCUAGUUCCAUCCAUUUGCCUGCAAAUUUCAUGACAUCAAUGUUUUUAACAGCUGAAUAAUACUCUAUUGUGUAAAUGUACCACAUUUUCUUUAUCCAUUCUUCAGUUGAGGGACAUCUAGGUUAUUUCCAGGUUCUGGGUAUUAUGAAUAAUAAAGCUGCUAUGAACAUAGUUGAGCAAGUGUCCUUGUGGUAAAAAUCAGUAGCCCUCUUAUAUACAAAAAAUAAAUGGGCUGCUGAGAAAGAAACCAGGGAAAAAAGGCCUUUCACAAUAGCCAGAGAAAAUAGAAAAUAUCUUGGGGUAACUCUAACCAAGCAAGUGAAAGACCUGUAUGACAAGUCUUUGAAGAAAGAAAUUGGAGAAGAUAUCAGAAGAUGGAAAGAUGUCUUAGUUAUGGUUUCUAUUGUUGUGAAGAGACACCAUGAUCACAGCAAUCCUUAUAAAGGAAAAAAACAUUUGCAGAGGUUUAGUCCAUUAUCAUCAUGGUGUGACAUGGUGGUGUGCAGGUAGACAUGAUGCUGGAGAAGUGUCCUACAUCUUGGCUUGCAGGCAACAGGAAGUGGUCUAAGACACUGGGUGGUAUCUGGAGCAUAUAUGAGACCUCAAAGCCUGACUCCACAGUGAUACACUUCCUUCAAUAAGAUCACAUUACUCCAACAGGCCAUACCUCCUAAUAGUGCCACUCCUUUUGGGGUCAUUUUCUUUCAAACAACCACAUUCUACUCCCUGGCUCCCAAAGGUGUAUAGCCAUAUCAUAAUGCAAAAAUGUAUUCAGUUCAACUUCAAAAGUGCCCAUAGUCUGUAACAGUCUCAAACUUAUUUCAAAGUCUAAAGUUCAAAGUCUCUUCUAAGAUCCAUGCAAUCACUUAACUGAAAUCCCCUGUUGCAAGUCGCAGGAAAAUGUAAUGGAAUUCAGCUACUAUCCCAAAAGCUACUACUUGGAAAGGUCAAGGACUUUUCCGAAGGUCAAGCCAUGGCUUAAGAAGUCUUGGUGAUAUUUUAGCUUGUAUAUAUAUGCUAAACAUAUAUAUAAGCUAAACAUAUAUGCAUAUAUAUAUAUGUUAGCUGAUUCUUGCAAUGAUUUCUUUGUAUGCUAUGUAUGCUUCCAAGAACUCAUAACAGUGUAUUUUAUCUGAAAUACCUAUCAAGCAUCCCAGGCCAAAUGAUCUCCUGAAUAAAGGCAAAUUAAGCUCGGACCCUCCUUUCUGAUACAGCCUUAGUGGUAUUUAUACUAACAUUAUAGACUCCUAACAUUUACCUAACCACCUCUAGGAAUGUAGUUUGAGCACAUAAAAUCCCUUUUUCUGAUAUAUUAACUGAUUUUAGCUCUUAGUUGACCUCCUCCUUUACCACUCCCCUUUUGGGUUGUAAAAGAAAGCCUGACAUCACUGCCUGAGGAAAACUCUUGUCUGCCUUUAUGACCCUGUAAGAAUUCAAGCCUGGGACUGGAGAUAUGGCUCAGCGAUUAAGGGCACUGGCUGCUCUUCCCAAGGUCCUGAGUUCAAUUCCUAGCAACCACAUGGUGGCUCACAGCCAUCUGUAAUGAGAUCUGGCACCCACUUCUGGCCAGCAGGCAUACAUGCAGACAGAACACUGUAUACAUAAUAAAUAAAUAAAUCUUUAAAAACAAAAAAAGAAUUCAAGCCUGGUGAUCUUGCUUGAGCUAGAGCACUGCUAUUGCAUGGGUAUUUAACUGUAAACCUCAGAGACUGAGGGAGGAUUUUGACUGGAGAACUAGAUGGAGAACUAGAAGAAUGAGAUGGAAGAUGAAGAAGAGCCAGAUGGGUAAGAAUGAGAUGGGUAAAAAUGAGAUGGGUAAGAAUGAGAUGGGGCAGAACUAAGAUGAGAGAAUUAAGAUAGAACUUAGAGGGAACAGCAGAUAAAUGUAGAGAGAAAUUAGGCAAGAAAGGAGCUAGGAAUGAUAACAGAACUGAAGUUGUGUUGAUAGGAUUUUAUGCCAGAGGAAUAAAGUAGAUGGACUAAGAGCUCGGUGUACUUAGAUUCUUUUCCUGAAAAUAAUUCACGCCAUUUGUAACUUCUCUUCUGGGCCCCUGGGAAGAAAACUAUUAAGGUUGGUCCUUAACAAUAUUUGAGACCUAGUGGCUGUAGCUGAGGAUAUACCCUGUCAGGACCCUAAGGGAAGGCCAAUAUAGAUGCCUAAAUGCUAACAACUAGUAUGGCCCAUUAAGCAGUACUUAAAACAUUCCACUGCUUUCCUAACCCAAAGUACCAAAAUCCAAAUUCCUCCAAACAAAAGCAUGGCCAGGCCUAUCACACAAUACCACAGUGCCUGAUAUCAACUUCUGUUUUAGUUAGGGUUUCUAUUGCUGUGAAGAGACACCAUGACCACAGUAAACCUUAUAAGGGAAAAAGUUAACUGGGGUGGCUCACAUUUACAAAGGUUUAGUCCAUUAUCGUUAUGGUGCAACAUGGUGAUAUGCAGGCAGACAUGUUGCUGGAGAAAUAGCUGAAUGUCCUAUAUCUUGACUUACAGGCAGCAGGAAGUGGUCUAAGACACUGGGUGGUGUCUUGAGCAUAUAUGAGACCUCAAAGCCCACUUCCACAAUGACACACUUCCUUCAAUGAGACCAUACCUACUCCAACAAGGACACACCUCCUAAUAGUGCCACUCCCUUUGGGGGUCAUUUUCUUUCAACUCACCACAAAAGAUCUUCCAUGCUCAUGGAUAGGUAGAAUUAACAUAUUAAAAAUGGCCAUGUUGCCAAAAGCAAUAUACAUAUUUAAUGCAAUCCUCAUUAAAAUCCCAACACAAUUCUUUACAGACCGGGAAAUUCUUUACAGAACAAUACUCAACUUCAUAUGGAGAAACAAAAAACUCAGAAUAGUUAAAACAAUCCUGUACAAUGAAAGAACUUCCGGAGGUAUCACCAUCCCUGAUUUCAAGUUGUACUGCAGUGUUAUGGUAAUAAAAACAGCAUGGUAUUGGCAUAAAAAGAGAGAGGUGAAUCAAUGGAAUCCAACUGAAGAUCCAAAUGUAAAGCCACACACCUAUAGACGCCUGAUUUUUUACAAAGAAGCCAAAAUUAUAUGAUGGAAAAAAGAAAGCAUCUUGAACAAUGGUGCUGGCAUAACGAGAUGUUGGCAUGUAGGAGAUUACAAAUAGAUCUAUAUCUAUCACUCUGCACAAAACUCAAGUCCAAGAGGAUAAAAGACCUCAACAUAAAAACAGUUACAUUAAACCUGAUAGAAGAGAAAGUGGGAAAUAACCUUGAACACAUUGGUAUUGGAGACAACUUCCUGAAUAGAACACCAGUAGCACAGACACUAAGAUAGACAAUAAAUGCAAACUCAUGAAACUGAAAAGCUUCUGUAAGGCCUUUAAAGGAUACUGUCAAUAGGACAAAAUGGCAGCCUACAGAAUAGGAAAAAAAAAAUCUUCACCAACCCCACAUCCAACAGAGGGCUGAUUUCUAAAAUAUAUAAAGAACUCAAGAAACUAGACAUCAAAACAAAGAAACAAAUAAUCCAAUUAAAAAUGGGGUACACAUCUAAAUAGAAGAAUCUCAAUUGACAGGGAAACACUUAAAGAAAUGUUCAACAUCCUUAGCCACCAGGGAAAUGCAAAUCAAAAUGACUCUGAGAGUCUAUCUUACACCUGUCAGAAUGGCUAAAACACAAAUGACAGCUCAUGCUGGAAAGGAUGUGGAGUAAGGGGAACAAUCCUCUAUUGCUGGUGGAAGUGCAAAUUUGUACAGCCACUUUGGAAAUCAAUAUGGCAGCUUCUCAGAAAAUUGGGAAUUGAUCUACCUCAAGACCCAGCUGUACCACUCUUGGGCAUGUACCCAAUGUGCUCAAUCAUAAAUGCUUCAUUUUUCUAAGAGUUGCCAGGUUAUGGUGUCUCUUCACAGCAAUAGAACACUGACUAAGACAGUGCCCUACGUCCACAGACCAAGGAGCUCACACUAGAGGCUGCCAAGGGAAUCCUAUAUGUAAGACUGGGAAAGUUGGGGAGCUGCCUGCUGCCCACAAGCACAAAGAGGAUGGCUAUAUGGGACAAGGACUUGUUAUGUGGACUAACCAGGGUAGCACUGGCCACAUAGAACUAUUAUAAAAACAGGAAAGGUUCACUCAGUACCCACAAAAGACUUGACCUAGUGGUGUGCAUCCCUCCUAGGCUAACAGUCAUGUGGGCUCCAGGUGAACAGGGCCUGGGGCAGAUGGGAGGCCAUCCCUCAGCAGAGCCUAGCUGUGAUCAGGUACAUUUCCAUGGCAAUGAGUCACAACUGAUUUCAGGAAAGGCCCAUGGGAAAAGUGAUUGGGUGGGGUGUUCUGCCUUGGGCUCUGACAGCGUAGACAUUUAUCUACCCAACAUUAACUACUCCCCUAUCCUCAAAGUUGAACUUGCCAAAUCCUGGGCCAGAGGAGCAGAGACCUCCUCCUGUGCUCUUUUGGCAACCUGCACUUCCGUCUUGGGGAUCCCCUUGCUGUGGUUCCACAAUGACAUUCCCCGGUGGGCCAAGCCACCUCUCCUAUGGCAUAGCCAUUCUCAAAUGCCAACACCUCAUCCCCUGCUCAUAGGAUGGACUGAAAGCAGAAAGAACUGUUGCCACUGUACCUGGGCAUACAGGGCUGCUGGGCCCAAGUCAUGGGGUACGGAUAGAAGAUGAAGAGGUUACUUUGAAAUCUAUUAUGGCAUGUUUGAUCAUGUUGAGAUUUAUUGUAGUGGUAUUUGCUCCACCCAUGACUUUGGGCUAUAGGGUCCGAAGGAGGCAGUGCAUCUUAUACGUGACCUCUUAAAAAGAAAAGGGUCAUGAGCCCCUUCUCCCUGCUGCCUGCUGCCUGAUGUGAUCUAACUGCCAGGUGGAUUCGCUCCCAGUCAGAUCAGAAGACUUCAGCUGUCUACUCCGUUCUAUAUUCCUGAGUGUAUUUCCUCAAUUUACCUUAAAAAAUUUCCCCAAUACUUAACCAGACUCCCAUAGAUUUGUUGCAUUAUCUAAGAAGAGAGAUGGCUCAGUGGUUAAGAGCACUAAUGUCCCAGAGAACCCAAGUUCAAUACCCAGGCCAUCUGGUGUCUGAUCCUACCAGGAUUUAAAAAAAAAAAAAAAAAAAGACCCACGUGACCAUGCCUCCUUCCAGCCUUAUAGCCCCAGGUAAUGGGGAGAGUAAAUACCACUACAAUUUGUGUUUAAGUUUAAACUUGGUCAUCUUUCCCAAUAUGCCAGUUAAAGACUUCAAUAGUGAGGAGUAUUUUUUUAACCUUUUAUUUAGUGUGUAUGUGUAUGUUAUGACACAAGUGGAGGUCUGAGAACAACUUGCAGGAGUCGGUUCUCUCCACUACACGGGUCCCAAGGAUCAAACUCAGGUCAUCAGGCUUAGCAACAUGUGCCUUAACAUGCUAUGUCAUCUCACAAGCCCAAAACAAGAGAUUUAAACAUGGUCAGGCUGGGAAAAAUGAAUGGUCCCCAAAGAACCUUUUGCAUACUGGCAUGAGCUUUAAACUUAAAUAAAAGUGAAGAGAUAACAUUAUCUGACUGGUUGUUUUCUCAAUUAUGGUUCUACAAGAUGGUUCAAGAAGUUCCUGUUGCUUGAGGAGAUGGAUCUCUGUAACACAUCUGGCAAGCCACCAGCCAGGAGGCGAGAAUAUCAGAUUCCCUGAAACUGGAGUUACAGCAGUUGGAGCUGCCUGGUGUGGGUGCUGGGAAGGAAACCUGGGUCCUCUGCAAGAACAAGCGCUCUUAACUAUCAAACCCUCUCUAGCCCCAUGAUACAAGAUUUUCUUUGUUGUUACUAUAAAAACUUUAUGAAAUUUACCAAGGGAAUACAGCAUUUGGAGCAAUCUGAAUCUGUUCCUAGGCCAUUGCCACUCGUUUGGAUCCAUGUUUGAGGUCAGAUCUGUGUUGUUGCUAUGUGUGUGAGUUGCUGGGAACUGAACUUAGGGCUUCAUACAUGCAUGAUGGGUAAGCACUCUACCCACUGAACUGUUUUCUCAGCCCCGUCAACAACUUUUGGCACCUAAACAUGAUGCUCUAAGGAUGAACCCCUUUCACCAGAAGAGAAGCCUGGACAGGUGUCAGGUACCAGAAUGUGCCCACUAUGCUCAACCACUUAGUGUCACCUCCUCAGGUAGAUGCUGGCAAGCUUUUUCAGGGACUUGGACUUGCUUGGUUUGGGCCACAGUCCACUGAUUUCUUCUGAGCUGGUGAACAGUCAGCAGUAUGGUGUCCACUGUGUUUUUUUCAGUGCGUGUGGCUUCAGAACAUUUGGUUUAAUUUGUUUUUAGAAUGUUUGGUUGCUAAUUUGUUAGCAUUCAGCCUCUUGUCUCUUUGCCACCACUUUAGUGUCUAAUUUAUGGAAGAAUAUUUGAAUAGUUGUCAUUUGGUUCCCUAGAUGGUUUUGUUUGGUAACUGUAUAAAUUCAAGUUAUAAAUAUUUUAAAACUGGAUAAAUAUAACUAGAGAUAAUUUGAUUUUAUGCUUCUUAAAAUGGGGAAUAUUUGAUUUCACACACCCCCCCAAAUUUGAAGACAUGGACAACGAUUAAAGAUUACAAAUGGACAGCAUACUUUAAUUGAAAUUUUAUUUUAUUUUUGGGUUUUCAAGACAGGGUUUCCUCUGUGUAGCCUUGGCUGUCCUGGAAUUCACUCUGUAGACCAGGCUGGUCUCGAACUUACAGAGAUCCACCUGCCUCUGCCUCUUGAGAGCUGGGAUUAAAGGCAUGUGCCACCACUACCAGGUCUAACUGAAAAUUUAAAACAUCUAAAGAAAAAACUGAAAUUUUAAUAUAUAAUUAAUAAGAGUUUUAAAACUACAUCUAAGAUAAAGAAAUGUUUAAAUGAGUAAGAAAUUAAUAAAAGGUUUAAUAAAGAUAAACUCUAAAAAAAAGGCUUUGUUUUCUGCACUGACUUUUUUCUCCUCUUUACCUUCAAACAGAACAAAAUUUUCUAGCAAAGAAAAGAACUGUUAGUCUAUUUUAGGAUAAAACCUAAAGAGAAAAGAGAUCCCAUUCUAAAAAUCCCCUGUUGUGAAGGUGACCCUCUGUUAAUUAACUCUUAAACAAGUAAGGAAAAUAAACUAAUCCUACCUAACAGCUUUACUUUGGAACUUUCUCCUCUCGUUAAACCCUUCUUACAUCUCAAAGAGGUAGAGUUUUAAUUCUGUAUGAGUUCUUCUUGCUGGGUGUAACCUAUUCUAAUUGUGUCAUGUCUGUUCAUGGUAAUUGUUUUCAUGUCAUCUUUGUCAUUUUGCAUUCUGAGAAAGAACUUAGUGAUGAAAGUCUGUGACCAUUUCAUUUAUACAUACAAAAACUUUGUUGUGUGCUUCUCUUAGCAUGCCUAAUUUUGCUUUUAAGAUUUAUGUGUACAAGUGUUUUGUCUGUAUGUACGUAUGUAUGUGCCACACAUGUAUGCCUCAGAGGUCAGAAGAGGGCAUUGGAUCCCAUGGACCUAGAGUUAUGAAUGGUCAUGUGCUACUUUUGGGUGCCGGAAAUUGAACUCAGGUUUUCUGCAAGUGCAACAAGUCCUCUUAAUUGCUAAGCUAUCACUCCAGCCUCAUUACCAUUACAUUAAAACAUGUAAGAAAACAUGAAUGUGUGAGAGAUAUAUUAAAAGGCCUGAUAAAUACAUACUGCCUUAUAAUAAAUGUAGGUAUUCUUAACUCUCUGAAACUUAAUGGUAUUUUUUUUGCCUAUCAAAUGUUUUAUGAAACCUUAAACUGCUACUUGUGUAUAUAAAAUGAACAGCAUUCAUUGGCAUCACAACAUGAAAGCUCCACUAAGCCAUUAAAUUUUACACUGGAUACAUAGAUUUUUAAUAAGGAUUUUCUUCUGAAACCGGUUCUGGAAAAGAUUAAAAUUUUAUUUCAUUUUUUUUAAAGUCAAGGGUAACAAAAAUAAAACAGCAUCCAAAUGAUUUAUGUUGAUCCCAUUCUCCGGAUGCUGUGUUAAGAAUUCUUCUGUUGGGCUGAUCCCUUUUAUAAGACUGCUCUUAGUGUACAAGUGAUGGACGUAAGAUUUCUGGAACGGUUGAGAUACAUCUAGAAUGAUGGAUAUGUUUGCCGAAGAUCUUUAAGUUGAACUUCCUUUCCAUAGUGAAAAUUAUAGGAGUUACAAUACCAUCAAGCAGUAACAUUAGACUGGGUAUACUUACUCUGUAUGUAAUAAAAAGGACAUAUUAAGUCUUACCAAAAAAGGAAAGUCUCCCUUAUUUUGGUGACAACUCUGCAUUGCUAAAAUUGUAUUUCUCUGGAGAUCCUGGACAGAGAUAAUAUACUGUAUCUGACAGGGUAUUAAAGCUGGUUAAAGAAGGGCACUAGAUGUUUGGAGACAAGAUACAGCCUGUAGAGGUCAUUGUAAGGGAGUGGCACCCGUGUCCAUAAGACCCAAGUCUCUGCAGCUUCAAGAACACAAGGACCCUACACCUAUAAGCUAUUAAAAGGCUGAAGGACUUAAAGAUCUCUUCAGACAACAAACAGGAUGCUUUAACUUCUUAAAGGCAAAGAUAAACUCUACUAUAAAUCUGUCAGUAAUUAUAACCUUGUUUUGGUUUUUUUCAUUCUUUUUCUUUUGGCACUGUUGGUACUCAAUGGUUACAACUCUAUACUAUCUUCCCCUUAACAUGUUCUACUACUGGAUUUUUUCCUUAAAAUUGUUCUGUUGUAUUUUGCCAUGAUCUUAAUGCAUAACCAUCGGUUGGGAUUUUUUUGUUUGUAUAUAUGGUUUUAUUUGUUUGUUUGUUAAUUUGUUUUAGCAGUCUAAAGGACCAUAUCCAGAACAAUUGCACAGCUUUUGGUUUUCUUGACUCUGGUCCUUUAUGGGGCCACUGGUUGGCAUAAUCAUAUUAUUCUUGCAUUGACAACUUGUUUAAGAUUUAUUUAAGUGUAUGGAUGUUUUGCUUGCAGAUAUGGAUGUGUAUCACAUGUGUGUCUGGUGCAUACAGAUGCCAAAAGAGGUCGUUAAAUCCUUAGGAACUGCAAUUAUGGAUGGUUGUGAGCUGCCAUGUGGGUGCUGAGAAUCAGACCCAGGUCCCCUGCAAGAGCAAUUAGUGCUCUUAACUGCUAAACCAUUUCUCCAGUCCAAAUUCUUGCAUUUUUUUUUUGAUCCUGUAAAAUCUGUGUCUUCUAGGAUAUGACAGUUUCAAACUUAACUCAUUAUGAUAUAGGGAUUCAAGUCAACUCCCACAACAAAAACUCCAAAGCCUCCUCUCCAACCAAUAGAUACAACAGGAAGAGAGCUUUGUAGUCUCUCUUUGGCAAGGACUACACUCCUCAUCAGCAAGGAAAUUGUACAAAAUAGAUUAUCAUCCUCAGAAAGAUUUUUUUUUUUUUUUUUGGUUUUUCGAGACAGGGUUUCUCUGUGUAGAUUUGCACCUUUCCUGGAUCUCGCUCUGUAGACCAGGCUGGCCUCGAA